UACGUAGGGUCCGAGCGUUGUCCGGAAUUACUGGGCGUAAAGAGCUCGUAGGUGGUUUGUCGCGUUGUCCGUGAAAACUCACAACUCAAUUGUGGGCGUGCGGGCGAUACGGGCAGACUGGAGUACUGCAGGGGAGACUGGAAUUCCAGGUGUAGCGGUGAAAUGCGUAGAUAUCUGGAGGAACACCGGUGGCGAAGGCGGCGAUCCUGGACCGGCAUUGACGCUGAGGCGCGAAAGCCAGGGGAGCAAAGCGGGAUAAGCAAACCCGU
rnacentral:rRNA from 1 species